rnacentral:rRNA from 1 species
AUACGGAGGAUCCGAGCGUUAUCCGGAUUUAUUGGGUUUAAAGGGAGCGUAGGUGGAUUGUUAAGUCAGUUGUGAAAGUUUGCGGCUCAACCGUAAAAUUGCAGUUGAAACUGGCAGUCUUGAGUACAGUAGAGGUGGGCGGAAUUCGUGGUGUAGCGGUGAAAUGCUUAGAUAUCACGAAGAACUCCGAUUGCGAAGGCAGCUCACUAGACUGUUACUGACACUGAUGCUCGAAAGUGUGGGUAUCAAACAGGAUUAGAUACCCUGGUAGUCCACACAGUAAACGAUGAAUACUCGCUGUUUGCGAUAUACAGUAAGCGGCCAAGCGAAAGCAUUAAGUAUUCCACCUGGGGAGUACGCCGGCAACGGUGAAACGCAAAGGAAUUGACGGGG